rnacentral:tRNA from 1 species
UUGCUGGCGGGAUCAGUGGGCCACCACCGGCUGUUAACCGGUUGGUCGCUGGUUCGAAUCCGGCCCGGGGAGCCA